GAAAUCUCCUCUUUCUGUCUUUGUAGUUACCACGUCCAGCUGAUGCAAAUUCUCUCUAAAUUGGUAUAAAUGGGAUUUCCUUAUAACAUAUGCAAGCAAAUCCUGCUCUCACCAUCAGUACUUAGCAGCAAAAGGAGCACCUGUAAAGCCAGUGACACCAACAUAGAAAAGAAUUUCUAUUGCUUCUAAUUCAUCUUAAUAUGAUCAUCGAAGCAUCACUUUUUAUUUUACUAUGUAUGUAUACUUACAAAAACAGAUGAACUCUCAGAUAAUAUGGUCCAACUCUAUAGAGAGUGCUUUGGAGAUUCAAGUUAAAGACAAAAUGGACAGUAACAAUAAUUAUUUUUACAUAAGGAUUCUGAAAAUCAGUUUCUUUCCCUGCAGUGAAAACCAGUAAUUUGCACAACUUCGCAUGUAGUUGCUGUUUGUACUUUCCAUAAAGGAUUCCAAUUUUCUGAAGAAAAGUCUGGAAGACCUGUGUUUAGAAUUAAUAUCCUUCCUUGGGAAUAAAUCAUGCUUCUCAAGUAUACAGAACUCAUUCCUUCGUGAAGAAUGACUUCUAGAGAGACAUGCUGAUGUUACUGUGAACUUCCAUAGUCAAAAUGGAUCCCAUUGCAAGAUCUGAAUAGGACAUUGCCACACAGAUAAAUGAUCUCAGCAACAGUGAAGAAAAAGCUCUUGAAAAGGCUCCACCUGGAUCCUGUAUUCUGCCGGCCUUGUAUCUAAUGCAGAUACCUCACAUGAAGAAAUUUAAGAAAAAGAAAAUAGCUCCUGAAUGCAAUGUUCACAGUCAGACCUUGCCCACAACAGAAGCACUGAAGACAAAGAAUAGAAGAUAGUAUGAUAAAGAAAGACAAAAUAAAAUGAUGUAAAGAAGAUCCAUUUACUACAAACGUUCUCGCUACAACAAGUCAGACUAUUUGCCACAGAGUGUAGAUUCUUGUAACUGCAGUUUAUAUGUAGGCAUUUGGAUACCUGGACUCCAGAGGGGACUCUGAAUGGCUCAUACAUUUCAGUGUGAUGACUACCUUACAGCAAGCAUGACUAGAAGGCUUAUGCUUCAGUAAGGUCAGACCACAGAUGAACUGUCGGUAGAAAACUUCUGAUAACAGGAAGAUAGAAACAUGGUUACAGCUCAUCGCAUGAGUAUUUCCUUCUUGUUAUCCCAGCAGAAAGACAGGCGGUACCCAUAAAGAUACCCAAAAUGAAGAAACAAUAACAGUGGACCAUAACCUGGCAUCAAAACAAUUGUGAAGACUGUGAUGUAUUUAUUGUGUAACUGGUAAAAGGAUUAAAACACCAGCCCAAAAAAACAGUUCAUUGCCAGCAAUCAAGAGAAACUGAAGAGAUGUAGCAAGGUCUUGAUACCAGCCAUCACUUGUCCUCCAUAGAAGGAUCUUGACUAGACCACAGAUAAACACCCAUCAUGGUGCUUGUGAGUAUGGAAAUAUGAGAAUGUUAGUUAGUGAAACUCAAGAGAAUGAGAAUGAAUGGCUAGAAUCAGUUUUGUUUAAAAUGAAUAUCACCUUCCUCUUCCAUAAGGUUUUAUGCUGUUUUGUUAUGUUAAAUUCCUACAACGGGGGUACUUUUUGUUUCCAGAGAGCUGUUUAUAUUUUAUGAAGUUUGCAAUACUUUUGCGUAAGCCUAAGUUGCUUCUGCUGUCCUUAUGUUCUUUCUUUCUCUAAAGAUUCCAAUGUUUUCCUUUGCUUGGUGCACAAGACUGACAGAUGAUAGCUAUAUGACUUCCUCCCCCCUUGACAUAUGAUACCUUGUCUCUAUGCAGAUUAGUUAAGAAUUUAAGGGAAGAUUUUCUAAGGUAGACACGACAAUUAGGUAUUUAACUCAAUGGAGAAAUCUACGAAAACGUACCUUUAUUACAGAAAUUGAUAAACACUUGCUUUUUCUUAAGGAAAAUGCAAAUAUUUUGUUUUUAUUUUGGAAUAUGAACCCAUGUUUCUAAUGAAUGCAGUGCUCUAACUACUUCAAAAAUGUUUUCAUAUUGAAAACUUACCUUCAUAUGUAAAACUGUGAUUAUAGAUAAAGCCUAAAUAUAUGAGAGGGAAAAGUAGAAUCUGUGAUUGUAAAUGAGUAAUAUGGUGAAAUGCAAAGAGGCUAAACAACUUGUAUCUCAGCAUUGUUUACCAUAUGGAUUUACAAGCACCAUUAUAGUAAUUGCUGCUAUUUUCAGACUUAAAUCUUAUCUUACAUAUGCUUAACCUUGCUGAAUGGGAACACCAAUUACUAUGUUAUAUGAAUAUUAAUGGUAAUGUGACAACAUUUUGUAUAGAGCUGCAUUUUGAUUAUUCAAGAAAGUUUAUAGUUAAUUUGAAGAAAAAAAUUAUCCCAUUUCUACUUUCUUUUUGGGAACAUUUUUGGGAGCAAAACAAUAAUACAUUCUACUUUCUUUGCUGGGUCUGGGUCUUUUGCCUGCUAAGGAAGAAAAAAGUAUGCUGCAGGGAAAGAACAGAGUUCACUUAUGUUUUCUUACCAGAUCACAUUUAACUGAAUCAAAGAUAAAAAAAGAAGUUGAGAUUCUGAAUGGAGCCUCUGGCCACUCACUGUUCCAAAACAGAGGGCUACGGGUAAUUUAGAAGUUACUGGACUGACCAUUUGCUUGCCAUCUGUUUCCCAUUGGUUUAACAGAAUCUCCUGAAUGAUCUGUUUUCUGACCAUUCUUGGAAGCAUUCGUAGCCCCAAAAUAGCCCCAAAAAAAAGAUCAGGAAUGAUCCUGUACUCUUUGCAUUGUUCUGGCAGCAGAAAAGAAAUUGAGAGCUAAACUAGGUCAUAUCCUUGGUUGACCAAAGUCUUGCCAAGAGGUUUUGGAGGUAUCUAACAGCUCUGUCAAUCCCCAGCUAGUGGUGAGAUUAGAGAACAAGCUUUCAAGCAAUUUUGUGUUACAGGUUAGUCUAGCAAAAGAUCAGGAUCAUGACCUGGUUUAUUCUGGGGGUCUUUUCCUACAUGGCGUUUAGGCACACCGAGGAUCCUUGCCCCAAAUCCUUCAUGGGCACCCACUCCAGGUCUGUAGAAUUUUGAUAAUGAUACUGGGCUGACAAAGCACUGUCAAAGAAUGUGGGAUAAUUCAGAAUUAAUAAUUAAAACAGAAGCUACUGUGUGCAACUUAUAUAUAGCCUAAAAGCCGUAACAUAGUUCAGUCAGCCUCGGUCUCUACUAUCAGGCAUACUCUAGUCACUGUUGCUCUGUGGAAUAUUAAAACUUGUCUUUUGAUGAUGCAUUAGACUGACUUAGCACAGAAGUAAAUUAUUCUUAAAUCCUGGAGGACAACAGAUAUUUUGUCCCGGUUUACUUAAUCAUGGUGAAUUUUGCUUUGAUUAAAUGUAGAUUUAAUCACCCUGUAGAGUUUUAUUUGUAAAAUUAGGGAUACUAUGGUCUCAACUACCACCAGAGUUCAGGCACCAAUUUUUUCUCUUUACUUAGAAUAACAUCUAGAAAGCUAAAAGCUCAUAUUGCACAAACUUUGAAAGAAAAUGUGAAUUUCUGUAAUUAGGAACACAAGCAUAGUAACCUUAAAUGAAUGUCAUAUUCUUACAAGGAGACUUAUAAUGAGGGUGACAAGAACACAUGCUGCUGAAACAUAACCUUCUGAACUGUACUGCAUAGAAGUUGCUGUAAUGAUUCAUUGUUUUUUGUUUGCCUUUUUUUUUUUAAUUAAUUCAGUGAUGGGUGAAAUUUGUUAUGACUUGCUUUUCUUGUCCUUAUGUGACAUUUGCCACAUGAUUAUCAUCUUUUAAUGUUUUAUAGAAUCUCCCAACUAUCUUCUGUUCUUGGUAAAAUUAUUGUCAUUGUUGGCCUACAUCAUUAUCAAAUUCCUUUAAAAUUCCUUUAAAAAAAAAAAAAAGAUAGUAUUGUAUUAUAGACUCCUAAUGCCUCAAAACUCAAAGCUGUAACAGGUCAGCAUUUUCCAGAUUUUCAAGGGAAAUUCUUGCAAAUUAAGGAUUUAUAACUGGAGUUGCCUUGCAAUCUCAAAUUGAUUCUUUCAUGAGAUGUUUAAAAGGAAUAGUGUUGUGAACAUCAACAAUUGCUAUUAUUCUCAGGCAGAAGUCUUUUUUUAGGUAAGUUUGAAAAAUAUGCAUCCAAUUAUAUUUCUGGUUCGUUUUUAGUUUUGAAAAUUCUUGGAAGUAGAAACUACUUGGAAUCUUAAUGUUCUGUUUUCUAAAAUGCUCAUGUGCUAGCCAUUGAUACCUCAUUCUUGCAUUGUUUCUAAUUGUACCUUGUGAAAUUAAAUAUAUUUCAGCUACAAAAAGUAAAUUAUUGAACUGAAACGAAUACAUUAGAUAUAUUUUGCCUUGAAAGUGUACCCAUAAGUUAGGUAAAAUCAAAUUGGGGAAAAAAAAAAGAUUUCUCAGUGAUCCUUCUAGUAGUGUAUGCUUCUAUGCUAUUAUGCAGAACAGCUUGGAGUUAAGUGGUUUAUUUUGCCUUCGUUUUAUUCUGCAUAUUUUAUU